CUACGGGCCGCAGCAGUGAGGAAUAUUGCACAAUGGGGGGAACCCUGAUGCAGCAACGCCGCGUGGAGGAUGACGCAUUUCGGUGUGUAAACUCCUUUUAUAUGUCAAGAAAAUGACGGUAGCAUAUGAAUAAGCACCGGCUAACUCCGUGCCAGCAGCCGCGGUAAUACGGAGGGUGCAAGCGUUACUCGGAAUCACUGGGCGUAAAGGACGCGUAGGCGGGGUGGAAAGUCAGGUGUGAAAUCCUACAGCUUAACUGUAGAACUGCACUUGAAACUUCUAAUCUAGAGUAUGGGAGGGGGAGAUGGAAUUAGUGGUGUAGGGGUAAAAUCCGUAGAUAUCACUAGGAAUACCUAAAGCGAAGGCGAUCUCCUGGAACAUUACUGACGCUAAGGCGUGAAAGCGUGGGGAGCAAACAGGAUUAGACCCGUGUAGUC
rnacentral:rRNA from 1 species